GAUGAACGCUGGCGGCGUGCCUAACACAUGCAAGUCGAGCGGCAGCGAGGGGUGCUUGCACCCUGUCGGCGGCGGCGGGCCGCCGAGUAACGGGGUGGAACGUUCCCCAAAGUGAGGAAUUACUUCCCGAAAGGGUUGCUUAUACCGCCUUUUUUCUUCGGAUCAAAGGAUUUAUCCGCCUUGGGAGCGGCUCGCGUCGGAUUAGGUAGUUGGUUAGGUAAUGGCUCACCAAGCCGACGAUCCGUAGCUGGUCUGAGAGGAUGACCAGCCAGACUGGAACUGAGACACGGUCCAGACUCCUACGGGAGGCAGCAGUGAGGAAUCUUCCACAAUGGGCGAAAGCCUGAUGGAGCAACGCCGCGUGCAGGACGAAGGCCUUCGGGUUGUAAACUGCUUUUAUAAGUGAGGAAUAUGACGGUAACUUAUGAAUAAGGAUCGGCUAACUACGUG
rnacentral:rRNA from 1 species